CCCUACGGGGUGCAGCAGGCAGGGUUACUUCGCUAUGUGUCGCGGCUUCCGCUUCACCGCCAGAAGGCGCUCCACGUCGGCUAUGAUCUCGUCCGCGUCGACGGUGAGAAGCAGCCAUUUCCCGUCGUGGUAGGUCGUGGCCCCGUCAUAGCCCCUCCGGGUCCGCUCCGACAAAUCCUGCCGGAUCGUUUCCACCUUCGCCCGCUCCUCCGCGCCGAAGACGAUCAGCAGGGCGAAGCGGUUCCUCUCCGGAACCAGCGUGCAGAAUUACUUCCCCUUUUUAUAGCGGCUCGACCAGCCGUGCUUCUUUCCUCCGAACAACCACUCAGGCGCGAAGACGCCCGGGUAGUUGCGCUCGAUCAUGGACUCGACGUGCAGCCAGUAUUCCCAAGCCUCAUCGCCGAUCCAGGCCUCGACUUCCCCCGGAGCGGGAGGGC
rnacentral:rRNA from 1 species